rnacentral:rRNA from 1 species
AAGAAGCGAAGCAGUGAUGUGAAGCGAAACUACAAAAAGUAAGUCUCAGUUCGGAUUGAAGGCUGAAAUUCGCCUUCAUGAAGCCGGAAUUGCUAGUAAUGGCAGGUCAGCAUACUGCCGUGAAUACGUUCCCGGGCCUUGUACACACCGCCCGUCACACCAUGGAAGUUGGGGGCACCCGAAGCCAGUGGCCUAACCGCAAGGAGGGAGCUGUCGAAGGUGAAAUCAAUGACUGGGGUGAAGUCGUAACAAGGUACC